AGAGUUUGAUCCUGGCUCAGAACGAACGCUGGCGGCACGCCUAACACAUGCAAGUCGAGCGCUUCCCUUCGGGGAGGAGCGGCGGACGGGUUAGUAACGCGUGGGAACAUACCCUUUACUAUGGAAUAGCCUUUGGAAACGAAGAGUAAUACCAUAUACGCCCUUCGGGGGAAAGAUUUAUCGGUGAAGGAUUGGCCCGCGUUAGAUUAGAUAGUUGGUGGGGUAACGGCCUACCAAGUCGACGAUCUAUAGCUGGUUUGAGAGGAUGAUCAGCAACACUGGGACUGAGACACGGCCCAGACUCCUACGGGAGGCAGCAGUGGGGAAUCUUAGACAAUGGGCGCAAGCCUGAUCUAGCGAUGCCGCGUGAGUGACGAAGGCCUUAGGGUCGUAAAGCUCUUUCACCAGGGAAGAUAAUGACGGUACCUGGAAAAGAAACCCCGGCUAACUCCGUGCCAGCAGCCGCGGUAAUACGGAGGGGGUUAGCGUUGUUCGGAAUUACUGGGCGUAAAGCGUACGUAGGCGGAUUAGUAAGUUAGAGGUGAAAUCCCAGGGCUCAACCCUGGAACUGCCUUUAAUACUGCUAGUCUUGAGUUCGAGAGAGGUGAGUGGAAUUCCGAGUGUAGAGGUGAAAUUCGUAGAUAUUCGGAGGAACACCAGUGGCGAAGGCGGCUCACUGGCUCGAUACUGACGCUGAGGUACGAAAGUGUGGGAGAGCAACAGGAUUAGAUACCCUGGUAGUCCACACCGUAAACGAUGAAUGCCAGACGUCAGCAAGCAUGCUUGUUGGUGUCACACCUAACGGAUUAAGCAUUCCGCCUGGGGAGUACGGUCGCAAGAUUAAAACUCAAAGGAAUUGACGG
rnacentral:rRNA from 1 species